ACUUAAUGAGGGCUCAGUUGGUUGAACAUGAGACUCUUAAUCUCUGGGUUGUGGGUUCAAGCCCCAGAUUGGGCA